rnacentral:rRNA from 1 species
GACGAACGCUGGCGGCGUGCCUAAAACAUGCAAGUCGAACGAGGUAGCAAUACCUAGUGGCGAACGGCGGAGUAAUACAUAAACAACGUGCCCCGAAGACUGGGAUAUACAGCUGAAAAGCUGGGCAAUACCGGAUGUGGCAGCGUCUCGGCAUCGAGAUGCUAUCAAAUGGUUUUUCGUCUUGGGUAGGCGGUUUAUUGGCCUAUCAGGUAGUUGGUGGGGUAAGUGCCUACCAAGCCGACGACGGGUAGCGGGUCUGAGAGGAUGAUCCGCUCGAGGUGGGACUGAGACACGGCCCACACACCUACGGGUGGCAGCAGUUGGGAAUCUU